rnacentral:lncRNA from 1 species
GGUGGGGGGAGGGGAGGCGUGUUUACCAGCAGGACAUAUCAGCAAGAGGAAAAGUUGAAAGACUUCAAGUGUCUGGACCCAAGAAGACUGAGAAAAAGCAGAACACAGAAAACAUGCUAUGUUGGUUGUGGGGCUCAUCAUUUAUCUCAAAACUUCCUUUGUUUCUAAGGGUAUUCUGAGCUGGCUUUAGUGGGUGACUCGUGCCUUCAAUCCCAGUACUCGGGAGCCAGACAUCUGUGUGUUCUAGGCCAGGCAGGGAUAUACAGAGAGACAGGGGAUUCUUUGCCCUCCUCUGGUGUUGGAGGGCACUAGGCCUAUACAUGGUGUACAAACAUGCAUGCAGGCAAAACCCUCAUACACAUAAAGUAAGAUUAGAUAAAGUCGGAGGCUGGGGCUUUUAUCAAGUAGGAUUGUUUGCCUUAGAGCAAAAGACUAUCAAUGUUCUUUCCCCAGAAUGUGCACAGUGGAAGGAGAGAACCAAUCACCAUUUUUUUCUGACUUCCAUAAGUAUGUAUAAUGUGUUUGUGUGAUAUAAAAAUAGAAAAUAUCUCUUCAGACACACCAGAAGAGGGCAUCAGAUCCCAUGACAGAUGGUUGUGAGCCACCAUGUGAUUGCUGGGAACUAAACUCAGGACCUCCUAACCCUUGAGCCACCUCUCCAUUUUUAUUGUUUUUUCUUUCUUUUUUUUUUUUCUUUUCAAGACAGAUUUCUCUGUGUAGCCCUGACUGUCCUGGAACUCACUCUCUAGACCAGGCUGGCCUUGAACUUAGAGAUCUGCCUCUGCCUAAUGAAUGCUGGCAUCAAAGGUGUGCCAUACCUGGCUUUAUGCCAGAGAGUUUUUGUUUUUGUUUUUACAUUUUACUUCUUUCGUUUAUUUAAUGUGUGUACAUGAGUCCCGAUAGGACCUGAAUUCCAACCUCAACACCCACAUAAAAAGCUGGGCACAAUGAUACAUGGUUGUGACCACUGGAUGUGGGAAGAGGAAGAGGAAGAGGAAGAGGAAGGAGAUGGUUCCCUCUGGUGCUAGCCUGUCAGCAAGCCCCAGGUCCCUAGCAGAAACCUUGUGUCAAAAGCCAAGGUGGGCUGAGGAGUGGGCCCUGUAACUGAUGGUUCAUAGCACAUAAUAGUGCUCUUCCAUAGGUGACUCACAACCUAGUCUAACUCCAGAGGGGAUCUAACAACACCUCUGUCUCCUUAGGCAUCCUCAGACACCUACAAUCUACACUCACGUGCACACACAAUCCACAGACACACAAACAUAUCAUUAAAAAUAAAAACAUUAAUUAUUUUUGUUUGUUUGUUUAUUUCUCCAGGCAGGGUUUCUCUGCCCUGAAACUUGCUCUGUAGACCAGGCUAGCCUGGAACUCACAGAGAUCUGCUGUCUUUGCCUCCUGAGUGCUGGGAUUAAAGACGUGUGUCAUUACCAUUUAACAUAAAAUUAAAUCUUAAUAAGGUCAAUGCUGGUGGUGUGUACCUGUGCACAAAGGAACAUGCACACACAUGCAGAGAGUGGUGAGAUGAAGGGGGGUAUAUUAACUAAUUAAAUCAACACUUAAGCAUUACAAAAUAUUACAAAAUGUAAAAUCGUACACACACACACACACACACACACACACACACACAGGGUCUGGCUCUGUAUCCUCCCUCCUAACUCUGAUUCCCAAGUCCUAGGGUUAAGGGAUGCUCUACUAAGCCCAUCAACAACACUACAUUGAAAUACUGAAAAUUUCAGCUGUAUUUAUGG